rnacentral:lncRNA from 1 species
UCAAAGGAUCAACGGUACUUCAAUAUAAUGAAAACAUUAAACCAAACUUUGAAAUGACAAUGUUCAAGUGAGGCCUAAAAACAUAAAUUAUCUACUUCACAACUAAAUUAGAAGUUUAGUGGCUACACAUGGAGGAAUUAUCAACAAUACAUAAAUAAAAGAGGAAUUAUGUCUCGACGAAGUAAUAAAAUCAACACAUUUAUUAAACUUGCGGUUGACAAGAUACACCGAAUGAUCCCAAUCUAGACGUCAGAACUUCAUCUAGAAUGAAUUGGAGAGGAGAGGAUGGAGCAAUCUCCGAAUUAAUCAAAGCAACCAUCGCCGAAGAGGCAACUUCAAAACACAACACAUUAUUAAGAUGGAGGUUGUGAGCAGGACGACAAAUUCCAUCACUCGAGGCCACAAGCUCAUCCAAUAAAACUGGAAAUUAUCUUUGAGUGGAAGUAAUUUACCAAGCGACUUAACUCAUUUCGAAUAGUUCGUCCUAUAGAGGCCAUUAGCCGGAAUAAAUGAAUCAUCCACAGUUAUCUUGUAGCAACAAGGAGGGAAAUUUUCCUGAUGAGGUUUGACAGCUUUUGGACCCUCAUUACAAGAACCACUUGGAUUUGAGAUUUCACUAUGUAUAGAGUGAGUAAUAAGCGAAACCUCAGUUGAUAGACUUGUUCAUAUAAUAGAGACUUGAGAGAAAAAAAACCAACUUGUUUCUAUCAUUCCAGAGAGCCAUAAAGCAACAAGACCAAAAAAAAGAUGGACGGUUCCAACAUUAUCAUUUGAGAGGUUCCAUUUAAGCCAUUCAUGGGUACCUAAACUGAAGAAUAUAUACCGAAUCCCUUCUUUGAUGAAACCCUCCCAAAAAGUUUUAAUAUCGUUAUAAUCUAUGAAAACAUGCAUAAGAGUUUCAGGCGUAUUAGUAUAAAUAGAGUUAUGAGACUUACCCGAUUGACAUCUUUCUAAAUUUGUGAGAAGAGUGUCAUGACUUGCUUUCUAGAUAUGAGCACGCGUAGUUGCAACAUGAUCUUCAACUAUUAAUCUUUGACAUAACUGGGUCCGGUUCUUUCACAUGUUGAUGGGUGAAUACAAUAUUAUAAGCACUUCUGAUUAAAAAUUAGUCAUUUUUUAAGAUUUAAAUUCAAUAUGAUCUUCAAUAAUUUUUCAGAUAUGAGCAUACAUAAUUGCAACAUGACCUUCAACUAUUAACCUUUGAUAUAAUCGGGUCCGAUUCUUCCACUGUUGAUGAGUGAAUACAAUAUUACAAACACUUAUGAUUAAAAAUUAGUCAUUUUUCAAGAUUUAAAUUCAAUAUGAUCUUCAAUAAUUUUUUAGAUAUGAGCAUGCAUAGUUGCAACAUGACCUUCAACUAUUAACCUUUGAUAUAAUCGGGUUCGGUUCUUCCACAUGUUGAUGAGUGAAUACA